rnacentral:hammerhead_ribozyme from 1 species
ACUCAGUUGACGAGUUCCAAAUAGGAUGAAACGCGCGUCAUGGAU